UUUAUGCUUCCUGACCAGCCACUAUGAGAAGAGUUUUGUCUCAUGCUCCCGUGACUAUGAGCUACAUCCUGCCUUUUUUACCACAAGGGACGGGACUCUCUCCGAAACCAUGAGCCAACAUAAAACUUGUCUCUGGUAAGAUGUGUCUGUCAGAUAGAUAUCAGGGUCUCAGGGACAUGAAAGCAGCCAAAGUAAGGGCUUUAGCUUCUGAUGUUUCUCCCCAGUCCUACAUGUGGAACCCAGGGAAAUCCAUGCACGCUAAGCAAUGGUUCUACUGCUCCACCAUGUUCUCAAUCCCCAGAUUUUAUCUUUUUAGUCAAAGAAGUCACAGGUGUGGGGACAAAUGAUUGCACUGCCAGCACUGCCAAAGCCGUAACUCAGAAGAGCUGUCUGAAGAUGGUGAGAUGAAGUCAUUUUAGGUCCUUUCUGUGGUGGUCCAAAAGCUUCUGAGAGACACGAUAGGGGAGGAGCGGCAGGAAGAUUCUUCCUGAGCUUGGUUGGGAGCCCAGCUUUCUGAUCCAAUGCCCUUUUUAUUUUAUUUUUUUUUUUGGUGGAGAGGUCAGUGGGGAAAGGGAUUCGAAAGAAGACUAAUUUGGAAUUGUCCUUUCCAAAUGGCAAGAAAAACAUCACAUUUCUCGCCUCAUCCUGAUGUUAUGUAGCAGGAGUAGAUCCUGGGAGACGAAGACACCACAUAAAAAUUCUGUCUGUUCUUCCCGUGCUCAUUUUUCCAGUUGGUUUUCACAGGAAUGCUGAAAAUGCUAACCACUCCUGGGAUUCCCUGAUGUCUACUUCAGUGCUCGUGGUGUCUGAGUCUUCACACAUCCUGAAGAGCUGGAAGCAAUGGAGACAGAGGUAGGAAGCCAAACUGGGAGGGAGAUACGAAAGAGCGGAGUCCACAAACGUGGCUAUAAGGAACUCUUCUGAGGGAUGGUCUUCUUCAUCUAUCAGAAGAGCUGGAGGUGAAGAAUCCAAGUUUCUCCAGAAACCACAGCUGGCCCUUCUUACCAUCUUCUUUUUGGUUGUUAAUCACCCCUCAUCUCUUAGUCAAUAUGAGAUGUCACUUCAAGGAGGGACAGGAUCAUAGAGGAGGCAUUUCUGGAACCUCUGCCACCAAGAAGGAAAUCAGCACUCAUCUCUGGAUGAAAAAAACACCCAAUAGAAAGUUGGUAGUCACUGUCAAGAAUCUUCUAGAAGCUCUCUGCCAUGGCCUCUAGUCUUCAACAAGGAAGUGAGUGUCGACGCUGAAGGAAACUCAGCAAGGCUGGUCCAGUGCCUUCUCUGGAAAGGUGGCAGGAGCCUGAGGGAAUGUACUCAUGGGCUCUGAGCUGAGAUCAUCAGGGGUUCUGGGUACCUUGGUAUGUGGUGACGAAGCCUCUGAGGAGACCAUAUCACCAUCCAAGUCCGGUGCAGCUGGCCCACUCACUUACACAUAACUUGGCUCCUACUGGGAAGUCACCAGACCACUUCCUUAUCCCGGGAAAGACUGUACACCUGACCACAGCCUUGGGCUCACAGGGAAAUGUCCUCACUUCUGAGUCUGCAAUCCACAGGCAUGCAGCAUGGCCUAUUUCCAACUUCGCUCCAUGC
rnacentral:lncRNA from 1 species